UACGAAGGGGGCUAGCGUUGCUCGGAAUUACUGGGCGUAAAGCGCACGUAGGCGGAUCGUUAAGUCGGGGGUGAAAUCCUGGAGCUCAACUCCAGAACUGCCUUCGAUACUGGCAAUCUCGAGUCCGGGAGAGGUGAGUGGAACUCCGAGUGUAGAGGUGAAAUUCGUAGAUAUUCGGAAGAACACCAGUGGCGAAGGCGGCUCACUGGCCCGGUACUGACGCUGAGACGCGAAAGCGUGGGGAGCGAAUAGG
rnacentral:rRNA from 1 species